rnacentral:miRNA from 15 species
UUGUCGUUGUCGUUGCCUCCG